rnacentral:rRNA from 1 species
CGCAUCUGUGCAUGCAGCAUAUCAAUAAGCGGAGGAAAAGAAACUAACAAGGAUUCCCUCAGUAACGGCGAGUGAAGCGGGAAGAGCUCAAAUUUGAAAUCUUGAAAGGUCACCUUUCACGAAUUGUAGUUUAAAGAAGUGUUUUCUGUUACGAUCGUAAUAUAAGUUCUUUGGAAUAGGACAUCAUAGAGGGUGAGAAUCCCGUAUGAUUGACCGAUUAUUGUCAGCUUUGUGAUACACUUUCAAAGAGUCGGAUUGUUUGGGAAUGCAGUCCAAAAUGGGAUGGUAAAUUUCAUCUAAGGCUAAAUAUUGGCGAGAGACCGAUAGCGAACAAGUACCGUGAGGGAAAGAUGAAAAGAACUUUGAAAAGAGAGUUAAAUAGUACGUGAAAUUGUCAAAAGGGAAGCGUUUAACACCAGUGUUGUUUUCUGAAAAUCAACCUCUGUUAGCUUUAUGCAUGUUUGUUUAGACCUAAUCAGCUAUCUUGCAUGUUCUAUUGUUUGCAGUGGUGCACUUUUCAGUUUACAGGUCAACAUCAGUUUUUUUUACCGUAAAAAAGUUAAAGAAAGGUAGCUAAUGGCUCCGGUCGUGAGUGUUAUAGUCCUUUUGCCUCUGCAGUCGGAGAGACUGAGGUCUGCAGUGUAGGCUAUUUGGCUAGAUACUCAGGUGCUAAUGUGAUACCAUUUCAUAAACAACUUGUUGAUUAUGUUUUGUCUAUUGCAUACUCGCUUGUACUAUCAUACCUACGCUUAGGAUGUUGACGAUCAGCUGAGCGCG